AGCGAACGCUGGCGGCAGGCUUAACACAUGCAAGUCGAGCGGGCGUAGCAAUACGUCAGCGGCAGACGGGUGAGUAACGCGUGGGAACGUACCUUUUGGUUCGGAACAACACAGGGAAACUUGUGCUAAUACCGGAUAAGCCCUUACGGGGAAAGAUUUAUCGCCGAAAGAUCGGCCCGCGUCUGAUUAGCUAGUUGGUAGGGUAAUGGCCUACCAAGGCGACGAUCAGUAGCUGGUCUGAGAGGAUGAUCAGCCACAUUGGGACUGAGACACGGCCCAAACUCCUACGGGAGGCAGCAGUGGGGAAUAUUGGACAAUGGGGGCAACCCUGAUCCAGCCAUGCCGCGUGAGUGAUGAAGGCCCUAGGGUUGUAAAGCUCUUUUGUGCGGGAAGAUAAUGACGGUACCGCAAGAAUAAGCCCCGGCUAACUUCGUGCCAGCAGCCGCGGUAAUACGAAGGGGGCUAGCGUUGCUCGGAAUCACUGGGCGUAAAGGGUGCGUAGGCGGGUUUUUAAGUCAGGGGUGAAAUCCUGGAGCUCAACUCCAGAACUGCCUUUGAUACUGAAGAUCUUGAGUCCGGGAGAGGUGAGUGGAACUGCGAGUGUAGAGGUGAAAUUCGUAGAUAUUCGCAAGAACACCAGUGGCGAAGGCGGCUCAC
rnacentral:rRNA from 1 species